UACGAAGGGGGCUAGCGUUGCUCGGAAUUACUGGGCGUAAAGCGCACGUAGGCGGACUCUUAAGUCGGUGGUGAAAUCCUGGAGCUCAACUCCAGAACUGCCUUCGAUACUGGGAGUCUCGAGUUCGGGAGAGGUGAGUGGAACUGCGAGUGUAGAGGUGAAAUUCGUAGAUAUUCGCAAGAACACCAGUGGCGAAGGCGGCUCACUGGCCCGAUACUGACGCUGAGGUGCGAAAGCGUGGGGAGCAAUCAGG
rnacentral:rRNA from 1 species